rnacentral:rRNA from 1 species
GACGAACGCUGGCGGCGUGCUUAACACAUGCAAGUCGAACGAAGUUGCGAACGGGUGAGUAACGCGUAAUCAACCUGCCUUUCAGAGGGGUACAACAGUUGGAAACGACUGCUAAUACCGCAUACUGAAGUCGGAGCUUGCGUCUGAUUGGCUAGUCGGAGGGGUAACGGCCUACCACGGCGAUGAUCAGUAGCCGGUCUGAGAGUAUGAACGGACACAUGUGGACUGAGACUAGGCCCAGACUCCUACGGGGGGCAGCAGUGGGGAAUCUUCCGAAAUGGACGAAAGUCUGACGGAGCAACGCCGCGUUAGUGAUGACGGCCUUCGGGUUGUAAAGCUCUUUUAAUCGGGACGCGGUACCGGAAUAGAAAGCCACGGCUAACUACGUGCCAGCAGCCGCGGUAAUUC